GGACGGGUUAGUAACGCGUGGGAACGUGCCCAGGAUCUAAGGAAUAGCCACUGGAAACGGUGAGUAAUACCUUAUACGCCCUUCGGGGGAAAGAUUUAUCGGAUUUGGAUCGGCCCGCGUUAGAUUAGGUAGUUGGUGGGGUAAUGGCCUACCAAGCCUACGAUCUAUAGCUGGUUUUAGAGGAUGAUCAGCAACACUGGGACUGAGACACGGCCCAGACUCCUACGGGAGGCAGCAGUGGGGAAUCUUGGACA
rnacentral:rRNA from 1 species